rnacentral:rRNA from 1 species
UACGUAGGCAGCAAGCGUUUGUUCGGAGUUACUGGGCGUAAAGGGUGCGUAGGCGGCCUUAUAAGUAUGGUGUGAAAUCUCCCGGCUUAACUGGGAGGGUGCGCUAUAGACUGUGGGGCUAGAGUGUGGGAGAGGAAAGUGGAAUUCCUGGUGUAGCGGUGAAAUGCGUAGAUAUCAGGAGGAACACCGGUGGUGUAAACGGCUUUCUGGACCAUAACUGACGCUGAGGCACGAAAGCGUGGGUAGCAAACAGG